rnacentral:lncRNA from 1 species
GUUGGAACUAGUAAUUGUCCAUUAUCCCACUUUGUUUCCAAGCCAAAGGCUGUGAAAUAUAGCAACGGUAGUGAGGAACAAAUCUUCAAUGUAAUAAGAAAGUCGAGGAAAAUACAGCCUUCAUAUGAAUUACUGAUGAAUACAUGACUUGGGAGGAGGGCCUCAGAAACUCACUUUACUUCCAGAUUCAAAUCCUUCGUCAGCCUCUUAUAUACAUUUUCAGUUCAUCAAGUAUUUCCUGAGUGCUACGAAUACUCCAGGCACUAUGUGCUAGGCUGGGAAUACAAAAAAGACCGCCUAUGGCUGCGGUAGCAGUGAGAGAAGCUCUCAG